rnacentral:rRNA from 1 species
UACGUAGGGUGCGAGCGUUGUCCGGAAUUACUGGGCGUAAAGAGCUCGUAGGUGGUUUGUCGCGUUGUUCGUGAAAACUCACAACUCAAUUGUGGGCGUGCGGGCGAUACGGGCAGACUGGAGUACUGCAGGGGAGACUGGAAUUCCUGGUGUAGCGGUGGAAUGCGCAGAUAUCAGGAGGAACACCGGUGGCGAAGGCGGGUCUCUGGGCAGUAACUGACGCUGAGGAGCGAAAGCGUGGGGAGCGAAUGGG